rfam:Microcoleus sp. PCC 7113, complete genome.
UGGUAGAUGCACCCUGGUUCAGCUCUAGAGUUUAACUCUAGGGCUUUUUUUU